rnacentral:rRNA from 1 species
GACGAACGCUGGCGGCGUGCUUAACACAUGCAAGUCGAACGGAAAGGCCCUUCGGGGUACUCGAGUGGCGAACGGGUGAGUAACACGUGGGUGAUCUGCCCUGCACUUUGGGAUAAGCCUGGGAAACUGGGUCUAAUACCGAAUAUGACCAUGCGCCUCCUGGUGUGUGGUGGAAAGCUUUUGCGGUGUGGGAUGGGCCCGCGGCCUAUCAGCUUGUUGGUGGGGUAAUGGCCUACCAAGGCGACGACGGGUAGCCGGCCUGAGAGGGUGACCGGCCACACUGGGACUGAGAUACGGCCCAGACUCCUACGGGAGGCAG